rnacentral:lncRNA from 1 species
CUUAAAAUUCUAUUGAGUCACAGAACGGGAAAGCAGAGAGGAAAUAAAUCAUUGAUCCAAUCCAUCUUCCACCUCAACAGAGGAGGAAACUGAGGCCCAACCCCAGGAAGGGAUCCGCCUUGCCUUUGACCACCCAGGCCCCCUGACUGACCAGCCAUGCCCAGCCCCAUUUCAGGGGUGAGGGGAGGCUGGCUCAGCCCUGACUUCUUCCCCCCUGAGGUUCCUAGGUCCUGCAUGAGGCUGGUGCACAAGCUGAUUCUGCUGAGAAAGAAGCCAAGAAGCCUCCCUUAAACACUUCUACUUUGCCCCAGGAAAAAGGGAGAUACCUGUUGUCUCUACUCUCGGCAGGCUGACUACCCUUUGUAAUGGGAUUGAUUCCACUCCAUGGGCCUCUCUUUCCAGGGGGUUUCAGGCCCUUCCCCAGCAGCAGCACUGGAAAUGGCGGGUCUGCUCUUGACAACAUGGUAUCACCCACGCAGCCCAGAGCCUCACACAUGGCAGGUGUCAAAGGUUAAUGAUGCCCAGGAAGGAGGCACAGCUGUACAGCCCAGGCCGAGAGCUGCUCAAAGAGACCCCUGUUAAUCCUCAGGCCUGUGGAAAGGCAAGGGCGUGACCUCAAGGCCAGUCUGACGAUAAGUCUGACCUUGAGCAGGAAGGAGGGCGACUUUGCCAAAGCUCUUCAACACCCUCUAAUUUCAUACUGACAAGGUCUCUGUGAGUAUUCCUGCCUCCUCUUCCCAUGUCACGGAUAAAGAAACUGGACCCAGGGACGUUCAGCGGCCUGUA